rnacentral:lncRNA from 1 species
AUGUCAAUAGGCAACCAUAGGAUGAUUAAGAAUGAAAUAUGGAAGACGCGAAUGAUGGGACGAGGGGUCAAGAGUGUUAAUCGAAAUGUACAAGAAUUUUCUUCAUUUUUUUCAUAACAUUUCAGGUGAGUGACUCAGUACAGCUAAACUGCCAACUACAACACAACUGUAUAGUCCUAAGAGAGGUAAUUUCAAAUUACCUCUGCCAUCUCAAUUGCUGAAACACCAAGAGCCCAUACAUCAACCUGUAAUAAAGAGUCCAAAUGUCAUCUAGGAGUAAAACAGAAAAUCCUUGAUUCUACUCUCUCGGAUAAUUGUGCAGCUAGCUAUAGUUUCUAAAUGCCUAUAUAUCAGACGCAAAAUUUCCUCUAAAAACAAGAUCCGGUAGAACUGGUUCGCACAACCAUUUUCAGUAAAACAUUAAUUACUUUCUUCAAGAGAUAUAAUACUACAUUUAGUAGUACUGAAGCCUAAAUUUCAGGAUUCAGGAGUAUACCAUUACAUCAGUUCUAUAAUCCGAAGUUUUGUACAUUGGUCGAAAACUCUGAGUUACGAGACCAAAUUAUUGUCAAAUAGAACACAUACCUUCCCAUCAUAACGGUUUUCCUGAAUAACCUCCGGAGCCAUCCAAUGCGGAGUCCCGAUGAACUUUAAGCAAGAGAAACAUUAAAGAAUCCCACCAUCAGGCACAAAAAUCUCUUAGGGUAAUUUCCCAAUCGAUCAAAGGCAUCUUGAUGAAUAAACCAAAGCAAACUUUACUCGUUAGGUCUUUACCGUGUUUCGCUUCGACAUAGUCCGCGUAAGUUGAGCCGCAACUCCAAAGUCACCUGCCAAGAUCAAAGUAGCAAACUUUAGAAUCGGCAUGCAACAGCAAAGCCAUAAAAAACUUCUAAUUAACAACUGAUAAGGCAACGCAAGAUUUGAAGAUUGAAAGCAUGAAAGCCACAUGGGUAAUAGAAACAACAUAUGUUAAUGCCAAUCUUCAAAGAGGUAGUAGAUAUAUAAUUCUCCAAGCUAACUUACCGAGUUUGACCUCUCCUUGUUCGGUCAACAAGAUAUUUCCACCCUUAAUAUCUCUAUGGACUUUGAAUAUUGAAUGCAGGUAUGCAAGGCCCUACAUAUAAGACGUAAAUACAAAUAGAAGUAUUAAGGCCUGUGACAAGUUGAAACAGAUGUGCUCAAGCGAAUACACCAGCAUCUAAUACAGGAAACUAUAAUCAGUUUUCUUCAUCAAUGCUUAUAGCCAUUCUAUAAAGUGAAAAAAAGUGACACCUUCAAAGCCUCUCGACAAAUAUAUGCAAUCUGAUACUCCUCCAAUGCCUCCUCAGUAACAUUCAUCACAUCAACAACGCUUCCACCUCCACAAUACUCCAUCACUAUCUGCCAGAAGACAAAAAUUAGUAACUAGAGAGACUGUAUUUUCAAAACGGAAACAAACUGAUACCAAAACAGUAAGAGCUGCUCUAUCUAACAAGAUAACCAAGCUAUGGCCCCAUAUGCUCACCCAAAGAUAAUCUUCUCCUUGGUAACUCCCAAGGUAACGGACAACAUUUGGAUGAUUACACUGCUGCAGCAUCUCAAUUUCCCCACGGAUCUCUUCAUAGCCCUCCUCCUGUUAAAACAAGAAGUUAAAUCACAUUGAGUGGAUUAGCAACAGUGGCAUUCUAACUUAGGCCAAUGACAAAACUAUUCAUACCCCUUCAGUAAGUGAAAUGACUUUAACAGCAACAAUCUCAGACGUUUUCAAAUCUCUUGCCUUGUAGACAGAUCCAUAUGAUCCUUUCCCUGCCAAUACCAAAUUCGAUACAGUAAGCAAAAAAAAACUAACUUCUGAACAUUUGAGACUUAGUAACGUUACCAAGUUCAUUGAGGAACUCGUAUUUGGUGGUUGGAUCUUCUCGAGUAAUGCUAUCCGGAAGAGACGUCGUCGACAUCUUACUAUUCUGCUGCUGCAUUCUCCGAUGUGACGACGGAGACGAAGGGCGAGACUUACGGUUCUUCUUACCACCGAAGCUUGAUUCCUGCAUACUCGCCACCGCUCUUCCCAUAGUUGACAAAUCCAUCUCCUUCCCCUUCUUAGAGGAAGGUUUCACAACGAAGGUACCAAACUCUUCCUCCUCGGAAGAUUCCUCAUCGGCUAUCCUCCGGGGAGGACUGGCUGCCACUCGGGGCUUCGACGAGCUGUGACUAUCCCGAUCCUUCUUCACAAUCAUCGUGCCGAAAUCGCCAUCGUCUUCGUCGUCGUAGUCGAGCGACGCGCCGCCUCCGAAAUCCUUGGGGAGACGCUUGAGAAGAGGGGGGAGGAAAGAGUCGUCGUCGUCGUCUUCAUCUCCGCCGCCGUCAGUGUCGCCCUUGUAGACCGUUGUGGCGUAUAAAUCGACGUUUUCGUCGUCUUCGUCGUCCUCGGGCUUGGGCUUGCGUUUGCUGUCUUGAUCGGAAUCGGAGUCGGAGUGGACUACGAAGGUGGAGUAAAUAUCGGGUUUGGGAUCGGGUUGCCGGGUCCGACGAGAUCUCGGCGAGUUCUGAUCCAUGAUGGUGGCUCUACCGUUGUCGCCGGAGACAGAGUAAGGAGUGCUGCUUGUGAUGAAAUUAUUGGGGGAAAAUGCAAUUUACAAUAAAACAAAUAUUCCACGCUGGAAUAUUAUUUGCUUGUUACUUUCUUCCAUUUACAUACAGCUCCGGUUAUAGUUUUAUGCAAGCGGAUUCUCGGUAAGAUCGGUUGAACCGGGGUAUUUCAGUUUUUUGCUUAAUUCGGGAACUGAAAAAUAUAUCUAAUUAAUCCGAAAAUAUGGGAUGAUUUCGGUUAAUUUUGAUUAAAUUCAGUUAUAUUCAAAUAAUUUUUUUUUAGUUAUUUCUGCUAGUUCGAAAUAUUGGUAUAAUUUUUUUCUAAUCGAUUGCCAAACUGAAUUAGUAUUGAAAUGUGUCGAUCGGUUCAGUCAAACCGAAAACUGAAUAAUCAGUUCGGUUUGGCAUGUUUGGUCUGGUUCAAAACCGCAAGCGUAUGCAUAAUGUAUCCUCACAAUAUUUCUGCAGUAAAACAAAAUUUAGAUACACCUCUGAAUCAUGGAAACCUCUAGAAAUGUGGUAUAUCAUCACCAGUGUUAUUUUUGAAAUACGAAAUACAACAUAUGAAACACAUACAUAUACGAAUAUUUAGACAUCAUAAAAACAGUUUUUCCCAGGGAACAAGAAUGAGUGGAGGACUUGGUGAUAAGAAGAUAGAGAGUGACACAGUUCUACUCAUUUGCUAGUUGCUGCUGCCACCACCAAAGAGGUAAUUCAGAGACGAGCCACCUCCUGGAGCUGAGUGGACCUUGGUAGAAGGCCGGUCCUGCAUAUCAAGCAAAAGACAGGCUUUAGCAACUAUAUACCACGAGUUUUUGAAGAUUACUAAGUUAACGCAAGGCCUCAUCAUUAUAUAAUGGUUUCCUCAUCUUCAGGCAGCUAAUCUAAGACACGAAAAGACAAGAAUGUUUUUGCUAUACAAUCAUCAGCCCACACAACCUGAUUCAUUGAGGUGGUAGCCCAGCGUCUGUGCUUACACCAUUUUUAAAAAAGAAAGAGAGAAGGAAACAUACGGUGAGGAAGUUGCCAGAGUUCUGUCCAUCAGCGCGCAUGUAAUUGUUUGCAGAGUUGCUAUUAAGACCAGCUGGGCCUUGUUUGGUAAUAUCAACAGGUUUUGGAGCAACGGUUUUAGGUUGUGUAGUAGAUGGAGGAGGGGGCUGAGUUUCAGCUGAGGCACUGUUAACGGCUGGCUUUGGCGCCUCUCCGCUCCCAAAAAGAUAUCCCAAAGAACUCUGCCCUCCACCUGCACUAACUCCACGCCCCAUUCUCUCCCUCUCAAUCUUGCUUCUCUGAAAGAUAUUAUUAUAUAGCUUUGUGAUUUGGAACAUAUAUGAGAAGAUCAAGAAUCAGCACAUCAUAUUCUAUACAGAACAUUGUCUGGUAAAAGAUAUCAAACAGCCUUACUCAAACUUCAUAUUACUAUUCCCUCGGUUUCAUGAAAAAGUGUCAUUUCCACAUUUUUCAUACAAAUUAAAAAAAUAUUGAAACUUAUUUAUUUUCUUAAUAUAAUAUGUUUCAAUAUUAUGUAACCAGUUGUGUUUGAGGUAAAAAAUUAUAUAUAUACAAGAUCCAAACUAUCCAAUGUAACCAGUUGUGUUUGAGGUAAAAAAUUAUAUAUUUACAAGAUCCAAACUAUCCAAUGAUAACAUUCACAUCGUACGAACAUAACUCUGAUUGGUAAUAACUUCUGAAUAUUCGAUCAAAGCCUAACAAAAUCAACUACUCGAUAACCUAGAGACAGUUUAUAUCAAAUCUGCGUAGUCCAUCGCAACAACAUAGAAAGAAAGACAUACCAAUCAAACAUGUAAAACAACACGACCUCUUGUAAGGAGCAAAUCUGAAAACAUUUACCUGCGAGAAUCUGAUAAGAAUAGAUCCAAGGAUUGAUAUGAAUCGGCAAGGUGAUGAUCGGAGAGAAGAAGAAUAGUA